UUAAUUGGAAGCUUGACUUGGGAUGUGAUACCAAGUCUGUAACACAGAGGAAGAAAUCACGGCAGAUACGGCUCAGCGAGCGAGAAGGCUCGCGCAGGAAAGGGAGACAGCUCAGUGAGCGUUGACAAGGCUUACGGAGGAAAGAGAUCAUGAUGAUCAAGGGACGUACUGCCCGUAGGAAACAAAUCAGGCCAUGGCCGGAGGACUUAUUGCCCAUACAGAUAAAACAGAGGAAAUUUAACAGAAACAAGAUUGCAUUCUUAAAGUUUUUAUAGAGGAAGCCUUCCACUGACUUGUAGAUCGAGUGGGGUGAGGGAGGGAACCACAAGAAGAUAACAAGCCAUGCAAUGCAACUCAGAGUCAGAGGACAGGUUCUUCAAUCUUCAGCAUAUGAGAUCUUAGAUCCUCCUAGCUGGUUCUUUUGCUGGAAAAUGUAGACAUAUAUAAACUGCAAGCCAACCAAGCCAUAUGUAUGAAUCAGAUAGCAAGAAACUUCCCCCAAAUCAAAAGUACUUUUGAUUAUCCUAAAUUAAUUAUUUGGUUACUCUAUUUUAAAAGAUUCAUAUCUUGAUUGAUCCCUGCCACAACCCAACUGUACGGAUCAGUUUUCUGGCACUAAGAUACAUAAUUUAGACAUGUUAACUCUGAUUUUCAAGAAAUCUUGUAAAACUUCGGUUCCCUUUGUAUAGGAUU